CGUUGAAAUGCCCGUUCUUGUACGAUCACUGAAGUUAAGCAAUAUUGAGCCUGGUUAGUACCUAGAUGGGUGACUGCUUGAGAAUACCAUGUGCUGUAG